AGCAGUAGCCGCGGUAAUACGAAGGGUGCAAGCGUUACUCGGAAUUACUGGGCGUAAAGCGUGCGUAGGUGGUGGUUUAAGUCCGUUGUGAAAGCCCUGGGCUCAACCUGGGAAUUGCAGUGGAUACUGGGUCACUAGAGUGUGGUAGAGGAUAGUGGAAUUUCCGGUGUAGCAGUGAAAUGCGUAGAGAUCGGAAGGAACAUCUGUGGCGAAGGCGACUAUCUGGGCCAACACUGACACUGAGGCACGAAAGCGUGGGGAGCAAACAGGAUUAGAUACCCCUGUAGUCCCUGUCUCUUAUAU
rnacentral:rRNA from 1 species